GCAGUAGCCGCGGGAAUACGUAGGUGGCAAGCGUUGUCCGGAAUUAUUGGGCGUAAAGGGCUCGCAGGCGGUUUCUUAAGUCUGAUGUGAAAGCCCCCGGCUCAACCGGGGAGGGUCAUUGGAAACUGGGAAACUUGAGUGCAGAAGAGGAGAGUGGAAUUCCACAUGUAGCGGUGAAAUGCGUAGAGAUGUGGAGGAACACCAGUGGCGAAGGCGACUCUCUGGUCUGUAACUGACGCUGAGGAGCGAAAGCGUGGGGAGCGAACAGGAUUAGAUACCCCAGUAGUCCCUGUCUCUUAUAC
rnacentral:rRNA from 1 species